UUCCUGGCUGUGAGACCCUGGGCAGGUCACUUAAUCCCAACUGCCUCAGCAAAAAAGAAAAAAAUUGUACUUCUGAUUUAUAAGGAAGGAGGUCAACAGGAAAUGUCAUUAGAGCUAAAAGUGCUACAAAUAAUCCUAAAUACUAAAAUAAGAUAACACUAAGACAACAGUUAUGUUUAAGUAGGGUAUAGGCGAAAGAAUUAGAAGAAGUCAAAGAAGCCAUCUAGUCCAACUCUCUCACUUUUAGAGAGAGGGAAAAAUUUAACCAAAGUCUUAAGUGACAGAGUCUGAUACAAUGUGGAAUUUGGUUAGAACACAGUAUCUAACGGAGAGAAACGUCCAUUAAGACUGGUGAUACAGAUUGGAGUUAAGCACUAAGGGGUUUUAAAAACUAACCAGGGAUUUGUCUGAUCUAAUAGACAACAGAUCGACUGAACAGGGAAAUCAAAUGCUCAGAUACGCACUGAGGAAAAAUGGACAAUGGAAGAGGGCUAAGAAUGGAGAGAGACCAGUUAGGAAGGCAUUACAACAAUCUAGACUGGUGAUGGCCUGAAAUGAACUGGUAACAAUGGGAAGGGAGAAAAGGGCUAGAUGUAAGAGAUGCUUGUUGUAAAGGCAACAAUGGCCAAGAUUUGUGGAAUGAAAAAGAUCAAAGAAUUGAAGAUAAUGCCAAGGUUAAGAAACUGGGAGAUUGGAAGAAUAAUGGUACCCUGGACAAAAGGAAGUUUGGAUGAGAGGAAGAUUUGAGGGAAAAAGUGUCAUCAUCAUAACAUUAAACAGAAGAGUGGCUGGCAAAGCUCCCACACUUGAUAUGUGAAGAAGAAAGCCGUCUUAGCUUACCAAAAGAGCCAGGAAGAAAUGCCAGGGAAAUUAGGAAAGAUGUGACUUGUGACUUUGUUAAAUACCUGCCAAUGACACAGGUGCCUUCUCCCAUAAAAAGACAAGAGCCAUGGGUACCCCUUCUCCUCCAUCACCUGCGGCUGCACACACAUGCUGGGAGAGAAGAAACUCAGCUUACUUCUUCGGGACCAACACAAUGGUAGCUACAGCAUAUCAUCUCAUAUGUAACCUGAAAGUUGGUAGGAGCAGUAGACAGAGAUGUUGAAACCAUUGUUAACAUCUCAAUUACUUUUCAAGGAACAGAAGUAUCUGCAAGGUGGCAUCUUGGGAAUCAGGUGUUCUUCAGAGGUACUCAAGAACUUAAAGAGUAGUAUGGUCAGUGGAUAGUAAGUUUGGUUAAUUCCGGACCUGUUAACCAUUAAGACAAUGGACACUCUCAGCCUGUACCCCAGGAGCCUGUGUCUGCUUUAGGAAUCCCUAACAUUGUCCCAGAGAGAAGGGAUGUGAUCAGCAGGCCCAGGAAACUAUAAUCCAUUGCUUCCAAAUUCAACUAAACAAAUAUAAUGUACAUAAUUCCUGCCCUAAAGGAGUUUAUAAAUUAAUGAGGAAUGAAACAAUAUACAAAUCCUAAGUGAAAACCCAGAAAAAAAUAAGAUAAAAGGCUCAGAUCAAAGCAGAGCCUAGAGAAAGAAAAAGUAGAUGGGGUGAGAGUGGGGAGAACACAUAAAAGUUUACUUAGUCACAAAAAAAGAUUACUUAAGCAACACAGAGCCUAACAAGAGAUAUUUCAAGAUCACAUACUGAAUCAUGGAAUGAUUUAGUCCAGUCACAAACUGUAAUUAAUGCCCUAAAAUGAAACUCUAUAUUGAACAUAUACUAAAUGACAUUAAAGACAGAGUGAAUAUACAUAGUAGUUCCCUCCCUGUAUUGAUCACUACAAAGUAUUUUUCCUAUAUAUAUGGUCUUCUCUGGUCAUGACAACCUGUGAAAGAGGCAGCUAUUCUCAUUUUACACAAAGCUGAGGGGUGAACUGAUUUGCCCAAGAUUACACAGUUCUAAUAAGAGGCUGGGGUUCAAACUCAGUCCUGAUUCCCAAAUCUAGGAUGCCCUUUUCCCUACCUUGGGCUGCCUCCUGACUUAAGAAGACUAUACUACACCCUGAUCUAGGUCCAUAAAGCCCUUAGGUUCCUGCAAGAAGAUAUGUUAAUCUCUGAGCCCCUAGAAGCUCUGAAAUGUUGAUGCCAGGGGAUGGAAGUAAGAGAAGGAGAAGCAUAGGGAAAGAAUGGGGGAGCAUAGAGGAGUAGCAAAGAAGAAACUGAGCUUCUCUCAACCUUCCAUUAAAGAUUCAAUCAUCUUAAGAGCCUUAAAUCACUUCAUGUCUCUCUUAGCUCUGGGUCUACAUGUUGUUGUUGUUGUUUUUUAACUCUCCCUAGCUAUACUCUGGUCCAGGUACCCAGUGUUGCAUCAUGGUCUCAGGAGGUUGCUAGGAGUCAGAGUGAAGGUCACUACAUCCUGCCCUGGCAAUGAUUUCCCAACUGACACUGAAAAAUAGACAUCCUAAGUGAUGGAAUGACGAAUCCCUUCUAAGGGAAUGCCUGACACCCAGCAGGUGCAACACAACAUUAAGGACUGUUUCUAUGGUAAUCUUCAGUAGUGCAGAUACUGGUUGGGAAUUAGGAAAAAAACAAUAACUUUGCCAAUGAGCUGGUGUUUGCACUACAUCAAAACGGCAGAAAUAAAGUGUGCAAAGGGAUCUAUCCAAAUCAAAAGUACCAUCUGCGGGCUUAUCACCUUCUGAAUGCUGACAUUUCCUAAGACUCCCAGUAGAAAUUCUGUGUUUUUUGGACCUAAAACCUAACCCUUUAUAUUUCUAGAGGGCUGUCCUGCUUGGAGGGCAAGAGGGAAGAUAGAGUUGUAGUAUGUUAGAAUUCAUUUAGCCCAGCCCCCUCAUUUAGCAGAAAAGGAAACUGAGACCCUGAUAUUUGUUUAGGGUCAGACAAGUUGCAGCCUUAAGUUAAGUCUUCUGACCCCCAUUCCUAUACCCAACCCAUUCCACUCUAUCACUGUUUCUCCAAAGAUGAGCUAGGAUAAAUUUGUAUAUGGAACCUACUCUUAGAAUGAACCAAUUCUCUUAGCAGGCUCUAUAAUUCCUUAUGGCUAAGAAGAGCAAAAAGAAAAAGUAUGAGGAAGGAAUAUUACUCAAUAAUCUAUUGCUCUGGGAUGGAAUCAGGAAGAAUAGAAAUGACCAAAAUGGGGAUUGGGUUGGUGGUGGAAAAGCUGCUGCUUUUUUUUUCUGAAAUAGAGGGAACUGCGGGUCUUUAGCAUUUUUUCUUAUUUCCCAGCAGUGGACAAAUCAAAAUGUGAUACAACAUCUGUUUUCUAGUUAAAAGCUGUGCCUUUUUUUUUUAUUACUAAAUUUUACUAAAGAAUUCUAAAUAGCAGUAAAGCACUAGUAUCUUCUGCCUUGAUUGAUGCAACCCAUUUGCAAUUAUUUAGACAGAGAAGAAGGGUGGGGUAGAGAAUUUUAGACAGAGAUAGAUUAGGCUUAUCAAAUUCCUGUUGGUUGUCUUUUAGUUUAUAGCAAAAUAAGGCAGCAUGACAUAAAUGUAAACUAAUUAAAUUCUCUUGCAUUUAAAUUGCCCUAACAAAAAUAAAGGGGAGAAAAUCUGGAGUGAAGAAGAUUAUUUGCUUUUUCAGGAAAGCAAAUUAAGGCCAGGGUCAGCCCCCUAAUACUUAAGUCACACCUGUGCUUCCUGAAAGGUAUGACAAAUCAUCCUGAGGGACAAGGUAGAUGUGGAACACCUUUGUAAUUAUACAGAGCCCAAAGUCUGAGCAUUCUUGCAGAAUGAAUAAUGUAGCUAGUAGCAGACCUCACAGUGGCAAACAAAGAAAGAAAUCUGUACUCCUAAAAAUUCAAUUAAAAAGCCGCAUAUUAAAAGUGUUUAUUAGCUCUGUAGAUUUCUGUGCUGAGCAUUAGGGAGAGAUACAAGGUACAGAUGAAACAAAGCCCCUGGUCUCAUGGCUUUAGGAAAUAGGCAGGUCAAUUCCUAUAACUUCUUUUGCCUAUAUUAAUGAUUUCACCUAUAUAAAUCAGGAAAAAAGUUCUGUAAAUGACUAUAUUGUGAUCCUUUUGAAAAGAAAGGAGACAAAAGCAGUUGAAACUCAAGGAAAAGUUUGAUUCCCUAUUUUUUUUUUAAAUUAGGAGAUAAAAUGAAAAGCAUGAACAAAAACACAUAUGGAAAGCUUAUAUGCAGUAUGGAAGGAUAUUAAGUUUGAAGUCAGAAACACCUGGGUCCAAAUUCCACCUAAAAUUCACUAGGCAUGUGACUCUUGAAAGUCAUUUUGUCUCUG